UUAAAGGCAAUGAAUAGGAAGAGUAAAUCUAAUUCGAUUAUCAGAGAGAAAAACUCAUGGGCUGAAAAGUUUUUCAAAUUAGAGGGAUUGAAAACUACCUAGGAGCUGUAAUCUGAAGUAAUCUCAUUGAUUUUAGUAAGAUUAACCGUAAGCUGCGUUAAAGUUUAAAGUGAGUUUUAUUAUGUAUAAAACUAAAUUGGGUGGAACCGCGAGAGACUCGUCCCUUUA
rfam:Terrisporobacter sp. 08-306576 Contig007, whole genome shotgun sequence.